rnacentral:misc_RNA from 1 species
UUAAUUUUGCAGGUUGCAGCAACGAGAACGAUAGGCUACAGUCGAUAGAGAAGAGGAAUAAGAUGUUAUACUGGAACAUAGCGAAAUCGGCGGAGGCCGUUUUCUCGCGGUGGGCGGUGAAGCGGCUCUUCAAGUUCUUGUUGAAGAAGAAAUUAGGGCAAUUCUUGUUGGGGGAUAUUGAUCUUGACCAGCUUGAUAUCCAGCUCCACCAAGGCACUAUCCAGCA